UACGUAGGGUGCAAGCGUUGUCCGGAAUUAUUGGGCGUAAAGAGCUCGUAGGCGGUUUGUCACGUCGGCUGUGAAAACCCGAGGCUCAACCUCGGGCCUGCAGUCGAUACGGGCAGACUAGAGUAUGGCAGGGGAGACUGGAAUUCCUGGUGUAGCGGUGAAAUGCGCAGAUAUCAGGAGGAACACCGGUGGCGAAGGCGGUUCUCUGGGCAUGUCCUGACGCUGAGGAGCGAAAGUGUGGGGAGCGAACAGG
rnacentral:rRNA from 1 species